rnacentral:tRNA from 1 species
AAAGUUAAAGCAAUUUGUGUCUCGUUUACGUUGAGAAGGUCCUUUAGGGUAAUUUUA